rnacentral:rRNA from 1 species
UACGUAGGGGGCAAGCGUUGUCCGGAUUUAUUGGGCGUAAAGAGCGUGUAGGCGGCCGCACAGGUCCGUUGUGAAAACUGGAGGCUUAACCUUCAGACGUCGAUGGAAACCGUGCGGCUAGAGUCCGGAAGAGGAGAGUGGAAUUCCUGGUGUAGCGGUGAAAUGCGCAGAUAUCAGGAGGAACACCGGUGGCGAAGGCGGAUCUCUGGGCCAUUACUGACGCUGAGGAGCGAAAGCGUGGGGAGCGAACAGG